rnacentral:rRNA from 1 species
UACGAAGGGGGCUAGCGUUGUUCGGAAUUACUGGGCGUAAAGCGUGCGCAGGCGGUUUUCCAAGUCAGUGGUGAAAGCCCGGAGCUCAACUCCGGAACUGCCAUUGAAACUGUGAAAUUAGAGUACGAGAGAGGUGAGUGGAAUUCCCAGUGUAGAGGUGAAAUUCGUAGAUAUUGGGAAGAACACCGGUGGCGAAGGCGGCUCACUGGCUCGUUACUGACGCUCAGGCACGACAGCGUGGGGAUCAAACAGG